AACGAACGCUGGCGGCAUGCCUAACACAUGCAAGUCGAACGAGACCUUCGGGUCUAGUGGCGCACGGGUGCGUAACGCGUGGGAACCUGCCCUUAGGUUCGGAAUAACUCCCCGAAAGGGGUGCUAAUACCGGAUAAUGUCUUCGGACCAAAGAUUUAUCGCCUUUGGAUGGGCCCGCGUUGGAUUAGCCAGUUGGUAGGGUAAAAGCCUACCAAGGCGACGAUCCAUAGCUGGGCUGAGAGGAUGAUCAGCCACACUGGGACUGAGACACGGCCCAGACUCCUACGGGUGGCAGCAGUGGGGAAUAUUGGACAAUGGGCGAGAGCCUGAGCUAGCAAUGCCGCGUGAGUGUGUAAGGCCUGAGGAUUGUAAGUCUGUUUUGCCAGGGAUGAUAAUGACGGUACCGGAAGAAUAAGCUCCGGCUAACUCCGUG
rnacentral:rRNA from 1 species